UUUUGAGUAUGUGUAUAUUUCAAGCAUGCUGAUUCUGAAAAUGUAUGUUUCAUGUGAAUGGCAUGUAUAUUUUGGAAGUUAUUAAUAUUUUGUAAAAACUGUAUUUCCCUGCCUGUGAUAAUUAUAUUACCCAUUGUGUUCAGUAAUCAUAUCACAGGCAGAGAGGUGGAUUUUGUGUGGGAGUGUCUGUGUGUAUUGUACGG